UUAUUAUGAUGAGUAAACCCUCUUGGUCCGUGUUUAUGAUCUAAAUGAUUCUGCUAAAGAGGUCUGACUUU